GACGGACGCUGGCGGCGUGCUUAACACAUGCAAGUCGAGCGGUAAGGCCCUUUCGGGGGUACACGAGCGGCGAACGGGUGAGUAACACGUGGGUGACCUGCCCUCAGCUCUGGGAUAAGCCUGGGAAACCGGGUCUAAUACCGGAUAUGACUCCAUGACGCAUGUUGUGGGGUGGAAAGCCUUGUGCGGCUGAGGAUGGGCCCGCGGCCUAUCAGCUUGUUGGUGGGGNGAUGGCCUACCAAGGCGACGACGGGUAGCCGGCCUGAGAGGGCGACCGGCCACACUGGGACUGAGACACGGCCCAGACUCCUACGGGAGGCAGCAGUGGGGAAUCUUGCGCAAUGGGCGAAAGCCUGACGCAGCGACGCCGCGUGAGGGAUGACGGCCU
rnacentral:rRNA from 1 species